rnacentral:tRNA from 1 species
GCCUGGGUGGCUCAGUCGGUUGAGCGUCUGACUUUGGCUCAGGUCAUGAUCACACUGCUUGUGGGUUCGAGCCCCGCGUCGGGCU